rnacentral:rRNA from 1 species
AUGGAGCACUCCUACAGCAGCAACUACGGCAGCACAAAGGAGAGGAGGCCUGCGCUGAAGAGGGGGCAGCUGAAGCGGCAGAUCGUGAGGACCAUCAGCAACCUCAUGGCGCCGAGGAACGACGGCGCCGGCGCGGACAAGAGGGCGUCAGGCCGCACCAGCUUCGGCGCCUACAACUGA